UUGUACACAAUAAUUGUCAGUUAACAUAUUUUCUCUCUAUCCCUCUUUCUUCCCCUCUUGUAUAAGGAAAAUAUGAACAAUUAUAUUAUUGGGCUUUUACUAAGACAAAUUGGACAUUUUAUCAGUUUUAAGCAUGGAGAAAGAAAUGGAGAGGGAAUACAUCACAACGAACGUUUAAAAAACCCACUAGAUUUUCAUUCGUGAUGGAUACGAAUGCAAAUAUGGUUAAAUGUGAAAUAAGUAAUUAUAGAGCGAUGAUAAAUAAACUCUUUGACGUUGAUUCAUUCACUUGUUUGGUUUGGAUGAUUGCCAUGGCAAUGAUUAAAGUUUGAAUAAAAAUAAUCAAACGAGGUGUUCUGAGGUCAUAUUUUUAGACACGUUGUUCGAUUUUACAAAAAAUGCGGUGACUUGUUCUUUACGAGCAGAUGGCAGAUAAAACUAGAAGCCAUCUGGACAGUACUUCACCAGAAAGCUGGAUAGAGACACUUCGUCACAUCAAGCUACGAGAAAGUAUAUGAUUAUCUCACCGGCGAAUUCUACUCCGCAACGAAAUCAGACCUUGAAAAUGGCUUCAAAAACCCUGAUUGCUCUCUACUUUCUGAUUGCCUUGGCCGUGGCAGCAAGUGUUUUAGUCGAGGACUCGGAUGAGUUUUACAAUGCUGAUGCGUUGAAUGUCGAUGAAGAUGAGAUCAACAAUUCUGAUGCGUUGAAUGUCGAGGGAGAUGAGAUCGAGAGCGACAUGCACGAAACAAUUAUAAGAAAGAACAACAAGAAAGAAGAAAAAAAAAGCUUGCACUCGGCCCUACCCUAUGGCAACGAAUAGUUUCGAUAAGGCGCAAUCUGCACCUUGGACUCGACCAAAAGCGUCGUAAUCCUCCCCAGGAAGCAGACGAGUUAGAUCUUCUCCAUGUGGUCAGACGACUUCUCUGUUUAUUGAGACUUUUUUCACAUUAAUGAGAAAAAUAUUUUAAAAAUCAUUGGUAUAAUCAGUCAUCACUGAGAUUAACCCUAAGUCCAACGGGUUCAUAACCUUGCCUCUAAAAUAUAAAAU